CAGAGCCUCUCAGUGAGACACUCUGUCUUUUGGACACCAAGUUGUCAUCAAAAAUCUCACCAUCACUUCUUCACCUGCUCAUGUGGUGCCCAGCUGUGCCUUGUUGGCCCUGCACUUGCCUGUAGAAUGAGAUUUGCUGCUCAGAGGUUGGACUUCAAAUGAGGCGAGGAGCUGGAGAAGAGACAUCUUGUGUGGAAGAGGCUGGACUGUCCUCAUGGACUUACCUCCCAAGGUUACAGGCUGAUGUCAUAAACUCUUUCUCUAAUGGAAAACCAGUUAGGAAGCAGAAAGAGGAGAGACUGCAAAGCUGGGGGCAGCAAUACCAGCUUGUGACCCAACACUGACUGAUGUGCUGGAACUGUGAACUUUGACUGUAGUAUCCUUUCUCCCAAAGGUACUAAUUUUGCAGGAUGUAAGUAAGGACUUGUCUGUCCUUUAGGGAGACCCCUCUA